UACGUAGGCAGCGAGCGUUGUUCGGAGUUACUGGGCGUAAAGGGUGUGUAGGCGGUUGUUUAAGUUUGGUGUGAAAUCUCCCGGCUCAACUGGGAGGGUGCGCCGAAUACUGAAUGACUAGAGUGUGGGAGAGGUGAGUGGAAUUCCUGGUGUAGCGGUGAAAUGCGUAGAUAUCAGGAGGAACACCGGUGGCGAAGGCGGCUCUCUGGACGGUGACUGACGCUGAGACGCGAAAGCGUGGGGGAGCAAACAGG
rnacentral:rRNA from 1 species